GACGAACGCUGGCGGCGUGCCUAAUACAUGCAAGUCGAACGCUUUUUCUUUCACCGGAGCUUGCUCCACCGAAAGAAAAAGAGUGGCGAACGGGUGAGUAACACGUGGGUAACCUGCCCAUCAGAAGGGGAUAACACUUGGAAACAGGUGCUAAUACCGUAUAACACUAUUUUCCGCAUGGAAGAAAGUUGAAAGGCGCCUUUGCGUCACUGAUGGAUGGACCCGCGGUGCAUUAGCUAGUUGGUGAGGUAACGGCUCACCAAGGCAACGAUGCAUAGCCGACCUGAGAGGGUGAUCGGCCACACUGGGACUGAGACACGGCCCAGACUCCUACGGGAGGCAGCAGUAGGGAAUCUUCGGCAAUGGACGAAAGUCUGACCGAGCAACGCCGCGUGAGUGAAGAAGGUUUUCGGAUCGUAAAACUCUGUUGUUAGAGAAGAACAAGGAUGAGAGUAGAACGUUCAUCCCUUGACGGCAUCUAACCAGAAAGCCACGGCUAACUACGUGCCAGCCGCCGCCGUAA
rnacentral:rRNA from 1 species